GCCUUCGUGAUGUAAUGGUCAGCACAUUCGGCUCGUAUUCGAGAGAUCCGUGGUUCGAAACCCGGCGAGGGCA
rfam:Stegodyphus mimosarum contig59920, whole genome shotgun sequence.